CACCCCCCCAUCUUUUAGGUUUCCGCCGUAAAAAGCACCUGCGGGCCCUUAAACCCCAAUGCAAGGACAAUUGGGACUUUUCCAGGAUAUAAGCCGGAAGGGGGAUAAACCAUGGUAACACCCCUUAAAACUGGGUAAUCCCGGGAAACCGGGGUUUAUACCGGAGUCUUUUUGAACCCCAUGGUUCAAACAUAAAAGGUGGCUUCGGCUACCAAUUACGAUGGACCCGGGGACCCUUUAGUUAGUGGUGAGGUAAUGGCUCACCAAGGGGACGAUGGGUAGCCGACCUGGAGAGGUGAUCGGCCCCACUGGGACUGAACCCCGUCCAGACUUCUACGGGAGGCAGCAGUAGGAAUCUUCCGCAAUGAACGAAAGUCUGACGGAGCAACGCCGCCUGAGUGAUGAAGGUUUUCGGAUCGUAAAGCUUUGUUGUUAGGGAAGAACAAGUACCGUUCGAAUAGGGCGGUACCUUGACGGUACCUAACCAGAAAGCCACGGCUAAGUACGUGCCAGCAGCCGCGGUAAUACGUAGGUGGCAAGCGUUGUCCGGAAUUAUUGGGCGUAAAGGGCUCGCAGGCGGUUUAUUAAGUCUGAUGUGAAAGCCCCCGGCUCAACCGGGGAGGGUCAUUGGAAACUGGGGAACUUGAGUGCAGAAGAGGAGAGUGGAAUUCCACGUGUAGCGGUGAAAUGCGUAGAGAUGUGGAGGAACACCAGUGGCGAAGGCGACUCUCUGGUCUGUAACUGACGCUGAGGAGCGAAAGCGUGGGGAGCGAACAGGAUUAGAUACCCUGGUAGUCCACGCCGUAAACGAUGAGUGCUAAGUGUUAGGGGGUUUCCGCCCCUUAGUGCUGCAGCUAACGCAUUAAGCACUCCGCCUGGGGAGUACGGUCGCAAGACUGAAACUCAAAGGAAUUGACGGGGGCCCGCACAAGCGGUGGAGCAUGUGGUUUAAUUCGAAGCAACGCGAAGAACCUUACCAGGUCUUGACAUCCUCUGACAAUCCUAGAGAUAGGACGUCCCCUUCGGGGGCAGAGUGACAGGUGGUGCAUGGUUGUCGUCAGCUCGUGUCGUGAGAUGUUGGGUUAAGUCCCGCAACGAGCGCAACCCUUGAUCUUAGUUGCCAGCAUUCAGUUGGGCACUCUAAGGUGACUGCCGGUGACAAACCGGAGGAAGGUGGGGAUGACGUCAAAUCAUCAUGCCCCUUAUGACCUGGGCUACACACGUGCUACAAUGGACAGAACAAAGGGCAGCGAAACCGCGAGGUUAAGCCAAUCCCACAAAUCUGUUCUCAGUUCGGAUCGCAGUCUGCAACUCGACUGCGUGAAGCUGGAAUCGCUAGUAAUCGCGGAUCAGCAUGCCGCGGUGAAUACGUUCCCGGGCCUUGUACACACCGCCCGUCACACCACGAGAGUUUGUAACACCCGAAGUCGGUGAGGUAACCUUUAGGAGCCAGCCGCCGAAGGGACCCGGGGGGU
rnacentral:rRNA from 1 species